rnacentral:lncRNA from 1 species
GGCAAAGAAGGCAGAGAUUGGCAACGAGACUUUAGGUUUAUGAAGAAUCCUAAAACAACCAAAUCAUCCAGUCAUUCAAUCGAAAUUAAUCAAAUCCCAAGUGUCGGUUCCAUCAAUAAAGAGACAGAGAUAGAGAUAAUGUUAGACCAUAUCAUGACUCAUUGUGUAGGGCCAUAUCAUAGUAUGGGCCUUGCAACUUUAUAUUUACUGGAAAAUGGUUAUCGCCGGAUUCUUGUUAUGGAGAUUCUAAAGAUUUUGCGAUCGUGAUAGUUCAUCGUAUAUCGUACAGUUAAUUUUUGUUAGAUGCCAUUUAUAUUUAAUUUUAAAUUUUAAAUUUUGAAAUCAUUUCUGACCUCAUAAUGUACGAUGAAUAGUCACGAUCUCGGAAUCUUUAAGAUCUCUAGAAAAAAGAUCCGCCAAGAAUCCUUUUCCAUAUUUAUUAUUAUCCUUUAUGAUAUUUGUAAUGGUCGUUGGUUGGUGACUCAGCACUUGUGCUCUUUUGCCUGUUUUUGCUAAUGGAGAUAUAAGUCUGCAGUGUAUCUCCUUUUGGGUUAUGAAAUGAAUUAGGGUAAAUUACAAUUUAUCCUCCUCAAGUUUGGAGGCAAUUGCAACCUCAUACAAUUAGGGAUGAGCAAAAUUCUCGCGCUUAUAGGUAACCAUGGUUACAUGCUCAUUUAAACUUCAUGGUUACGAUUAUAGGUAACCGUUUAGAUAAAUAAACGGUUAUGGAUAUAACCGUUUACUCGUGACAUUUAAAUGAGUAAUUAUAGGUAUUAACCGCGGUUAUAAACAGAUAACCGUUUAUCUAUUUAUUUUAUAUAUGUAAAAUUAAUGCAAACCAUGUUCUCUAUCGGACAAAACUUAGAUCAAUGCUAUUGAUUGUAAUGCAUGGUUUAUGUAGCUAAUUAUAAUAUAAUGUAGCUCAUUAUAUAUAUAUAUAUAUAUAUAUAUAUAUAUAUAUAUAUUAUGUUAAUACUUUACAUUCUGGGUUAAAUAACCCAAAAAUAUUGUCUUCCAAAUCGUUCUUGUAACCCAAGAAUACUUGACAAAUAUUAUAUUACCUUCAUUGGUAACAGUUAAAAAUAUCGUUCGUAAACUAUUAUUUCAAUUAUUGGAAUGGUAUAAGGACUUAAAAAUUAAAAUACGGAAAUGUAUGAUAAUGUACCUAUACCGAUGUUUAAUUGUCAAAAAGAAAAAAUGAUAAACAGGUUAAAAAAGGGUAAAUUGGUAAACGGGUAUUAAACGGUUACGAUUAAAUGAGUAUGCGGUUAUGAGUAUGGUUAACCGUUUAUAAACGGUUAUGGGUAUAUGUAUAACUGUUUAGGCAAUUACCAAAUGGGUAAACGGUUAUGUGGGUAUGAGCAUAAACGGCUAUGGGUAAAUAACCGCGGUUAUCCGCCCGCCAUAACCUUUGUCCAUUCCUAUAUACAACAUCUUUAAAACAUUUCAAUCUCAUACAUUUAUUUAUCUUUUGUUUCAAUUUUAUACCUUCGUUACAAAAUUUGUUAACUUGGCCGUUAAGUGAUGAUGUGUUAAAUAUGAAGUCUACGUUUUAAUGAUGUGGCAAAUAAAAAAAAAACUAAUUAUUAAAGAAAAUUAAUUUAAAAAGUAAAAAUGGGCCACCCUUCAUCUUUUAUUAAUUAAUUUUUUUAUUUGGUAUCCAUAUGGUGUCAAGUUGGUAGCCACAUCAGCGAAAAGGUAGAUUGUAUAUUUGCCACAUUAUCAUUUAAUGGCUAAUUUAACAGAUUUUCUAACGGAUGUAUGAUAUUGAAAUGAAAUAGGAUAAGUAAUGUAUAAGAUUGAAAUGUUUUAAAGAUAUUGUAUGAGAUUGUAAUUGCACCUAAACUUAAAGGAGUAAAAUGUAAUUUACCCAAUGAAUUAAUCUUUUAACUUUUCUUCACUUUCUCUUUUACUCUUACUUUUCUUCCUCUGUGCGAUUGGUACCUGACAUUUGGUAUCACGAGCCCAGGUGUGCUUCCAUGGGCAAGAGCAAGGCAUCCGUGACGGUGGUCGAUAUGUUUGAGACGGAGCUUAACAAGGAAUUUCAGCAACAGCAAAUUUUCACACAGCUUAAUGACUUCCAUGAUACGAUGACAAUGAUGAAUCUCUACCAUGACGAUCUACAACACCACAUCGCCGAUCUGCAACACUCUUUCGCAGAUAUGUCCGUCAACUGAGCUCGGUAUGAGAACUUCCAACAGACUGUGCUUGAAGAGCUCCAUUCUCUUAAAACUCAACACCCAACCAACCCGUUUCCCAAAUCCCAAUCGGUUCCAUACCGAUUUAUCUCGGCUCCACCCUUUUUUCCACAGCUCACACCACCCUUACUCUACC